UGCCUGCCCAGUGACACAAGUUAAACGGCCGCGGUAUCCUGACCGUGCAAAGGUAGCAUAAUCACUUGUUCUCUAAAUAAGGACUAGUAUGAAUGGCCACACGAGGGUUUAACUGUCUCUUACUUCCAAUCAGUGAAAUUGACCUUCCCGUGAAGAGGCGGGAAUAUAACAACAAGACGAGAAGACCCUAUGGAGCUUCAAUUAAUUGACCCAAAGAGACAUAAUUAUAACCAACAGGGACAACAACUCUCCACAUGGGUCAACAAUUUAGGUUGGGGUGACCUCGGAGCAUAAAUCAACCUCCGAGUGAUUUUAAUCUAGACUAACCAGUCAAAAGUAUAACAUCACUUAUUGAUCCAAUACACUUGAUCAACGGAACAAGUUACCCUAGGGAUAACAGCGCAAUCCUAUUCUAGAGUCCAUAUCGACAAUAGGGUUUACGACCUCGAUGUUGGAUCAGGACAUCCCGAUGGUGCAGCAGCUAUCAAAGGUUCGUUUGUUCAACGAUUAAAGUCCUACGUGAUCUGAGUUCAAAACCGGAGA
rnacentral:rRNA from 1 species